rnacentral:rRNA from 1 species
GGGGAAUAUUGCGCAAUGGGGGAAACCCUGAUGCAGCAAGACUGCGCGCGUGUAGAAGGUUUGUGGAUCGUAAAGCACUGCUAUUGGGGAAGAAAAAAAGACGGUACCUAAGACGAAAGGCCCGGCUAACCACGUGCCAGCAGCCGCGGUAAUACGUAGGGGACAAGCGUUGUCCGGAUUUACUGGGCGUAAAGGGCACGCAGGCGGUUUUUUAAGUCAGAUGUGAAAGGUACCGGCUCAACCGGUGACAUGCAUUUGAAACUGAAAGACUUGAGUAUUGGAGAGGCAAGUGGAAUUCCUAGUGUAGCGGUGAAAUGCGUAGAUAUUAGGAGGAACACCGGUGGCGAAGGCGGCUUGCUGGACAAAUACUGACGCUGAGGUGCGAAAGCGUGGGGAGCAAACA